CCUACGGGUGGCAGCAGUGAGGAAUAUUGGUCAAUGGGCGGGAGCCUGAACCAGCCAAGUCGCGUGAAGGAAGAAGGUACUUAGUAUUGUAAACUUCUUUUGUCGGAGGACAAAGGCGGAGACGCGUCUCCGGCUGAGUGUACCCGAAGAAAAAGCAUCGGCUAACUCCGUGCCAGCAGCCGCGGUAAUACGGAGGAUGCGAGCGUUAUCCGGAUGUAUUGGGUUUAAAGGGUUCGCAGGCGGGAGAUCAAGUCAGAGGUAAAAUGGCGGGGCUCAACCCCGGCCUGCCGUUGAUACUGUUUAUCUAGAGGUGGAGAGAAGUAUGCGGAAUUCGUGGUGUAGCGGUGAAAUGCAUAGAUAUCACGAAGAACUCCGAUUGCGAAGGCAGCAUACCGGCUCCACACUGACGCUGAGGCACGAAAGCGUGGGGAUCGAACAGGAUUAGAUACCCUAGUAGUC
rnacentral:rRNA from 1 species